rnacentral:rRNA from 1 species
CUUGACUCUAGUCUGGCACUGUAAGGAGACAUGAGAGGUGUAGCAUAAGUGGGAGACUCCUUACGGUGUCGACAGUGAAAUACCACUACUUUCAUCGUUUCCUUACUUACUUGGUGAGGCGGAAAGCGUGCAUGGUUCCCUGUGUUCCAUGCACGGUAUUCUGGAACCACGACCGUGAUGGUCACAACUUAUCCCGGUUAAUCCGAUCCAAGGACACUGCCAGGCCGGGAGUUUGACUGGGGCGGUACAUCUGUCAAAGAAUAACGCAGGUGUCCUAAGGCCAGCUCAGCGAGGACAGAAACCUCGCGUAGAGCAAAAGGGCAAAAGCUGGCUUGAUCCCGAUGUUCAGUAAGCAUAGGGACUGCGAAAGCACGGCCCAUCGAUCCUUUUGACUUGAAGAGUUUUCAGCAAGAGGUGUCAGAAAAGUUACCACAGGGA